rnacentral:lncRNA from 1 species
CCAAGAGCAGGCUUGAAUAGCCAUGGCUGGCCGGAGCAAGGUCGAAGAUGACCGGAAACAACCAUAGAACUGAAAGUGUCUGAGGUUUGGACCAAGCUUCUUCAAGGUCUGGCCUUGAAGACAUGAUAAUCAGGCAAGUAAAAGUCAUAGGAGGCAGAUGCAGGCCUUUAAUGGAAGCCAUUGAUUCAGGCGAUUUUAAGGUGGUGAUAGAAGGUGGCAGCUAGGUUUAAGAGAGAGUUUGAGAGAAGGGGAGAGGGGAUUCAAGGCCAG